GCAUUUUAAGUAUCAAAAUUGAAGUAUAAAUUGAUUUAUUAGAAUCGAUAGGAGCUAUGGAAAAACCGGUAGAUCGAUCCAUAAGUGUGUGCCCCAAAUUAAGAUGUUACACACACACACAGAGACACAUACAAAAUGCUAUGGAACCGUGCACUGGAGAUUUCCAUCCACUUGAAGACUUGAAAAUUUCUAUUUUGAAAGUAUGCGGAAGUUAUAUGUAAUGAAAUUUCCAAAAAUAUCAAUGAAUUACUAUGCAAGAAUAUGCAAUUCAGUUGUAGGUGUUUGUCAAUUAAUAAAACUUCUCAAUGCACAUCACCUAGAUUUGUAAUUGUCUUCAAAAGAGCACCUCCUCUCCAAUAUACCCAAACAUGACAUUCUAGGACUUGGUGCAAAAUUGAUAUAGUUGAUGAUGUUGGAAGAACCAUCUGGAAACAUCAAGACGUGCCAGUUUUAAGAAUUUAGCAUACUAAUCGAAGUUCCCCAGCUAGCAUAUCAUAAUAUUUAGCAAAAAUACAAUCCAAGUCUAUUGCAACUAUCAUUACAGAAAAUGAAAAAUUCCGAAAAAAAAACUUCAAUUCGAUGCAUUAUAGGGAAAUCUUGUAACUCUAAUUCUCAAUCAACUAAUUCAAAUAUUUAGACAGUGGAUUAAUGAAGUCACCAGAUGCAUUUUAUUGCACAUGAUCAUGCUAGCAAACAUAUGAUCAUUAAUGACAUGACAAAAGAAUGCAUUACGAAACUGUAAAAAACCGAAAUUAAUACUUUAACACAAAAUAUAUGCAUUCAGUGGAAAUCAAGAAUAGAUACAUGAUACUCGAAAUAGAGGAAUUACUUAACCAUAAUUAAACCUAAAAGUGAAACAAAUUGAUGAACAUCUGAGUUAGUACUGCAUAAUCAAGUGAUGGAUUAAGCUCGAAGAUAAAAUGCAAUGAAAUAAACGAAUGUCGAAGAAAUAUAAAGCAAAUUAGCAGUGAAAAAAGAAGACCUAGCCUUUGUUCCGACUUGGAGAGCAAAGUAUAAAGUGUGAGAGGGGUUACCACGGCUAAAAUGGCGAGGAAAGCGAAGAGGACAAAGAAAAUGGCUGAGGUUGAUUAUGUGGAAUACCUGGUCUCUGCUGGUUUGGAUCCACAAUUAAGCUACAAAUCGCCCAAAACAAUAAAAAAACAACUCAAAAUACGUCCUAGUUUUAAGAACCCAUAAAAAUAAAAAUUCACAUUCCAAAAACACUUAAUGGAUUGUUCAUAUCAACACGGAUGCUGUAUUAUGUAUUAAAAAGGUAGCGGAUUGAUAAAAAUAUAACCAAAAAUGAGAAUUAUGGUUGUUUAAUUGUACCUAAGGUGCGGUAGUUAUUUGUUGGUGUUGUGGUUGCUGGUGUUAAUCGGCGUUCAAGGGAGUCGAAGACCUUGAAUUAUAGAGGAAGGUGGAAAUUGGGAUUAAUAUUCAAUUUCUCUGUGUACCGGACAAUUUAAAGAUUUGAGGCUUUUUUUUUUUUCCACUUAUACAGUUCUACACACUUUCUAGCCCUAAAUAUUUCCGAAAAACAUACGGAAAGUGAAAGCAAGAAAAUUACACACAACAAAACUAUUGAAAUUUUAAAACCCACUCCCCAAAUUAGGUUCUUUGACUGGCUAAUGACCAUAUUGGAUAUAAAUUAGGGAAGUUUAACGAAAAGCUCCUGGUACUAUUCACUUUAACGAAAAACCAUAUUUUUACACUAAAAAGUCAAGCAUGAUACUAUUCACCUUACCCUUUAUUUUGUCCUUAUCGUUAAAACUCAAAGUUUUCAAGCCAUUUUCAUUAGUUUUCCUUAUAAAUUAUCAUCCCAAACACAGCGAUUGCUGAAUUUUAUUUUCUAGACAUUCUAAUUAAUCAUUAUUUAACUCAAGAAUACAAUUCAUCCAACAAUAAUUAGUAGAUAAAACAAAAGCAGCAACAUAAAAAUCAUGAGGUUACCUGAAUUCUGAGGGCUGAGGGAGAUAGCUUAAUGGCAUCAGGUUCCAUUUGCAGUCAAGAGUUGGAAACUGAAUUCGAGACUCUUCUUGGUUCCUAUUAACAAUACAUAACAUGGUGGACCAAAUUAAAAACAACUUCAAACCAAAAAUUAUAAUCUGGUUUUUUCUAAUUCUUUAAGAAUUCUCAGAACUCUAAACAAAGGGAAAUGGUGGUCAUAUUCUCCUUACUCUGUCAUCACAAAAAACAAAAUUUGAAGUUGAAAACUUGCAAUCUGUUAUGUAACUUCAGUUCUGUUAGUGGUUGUUUGAAUGUAUUUAUGGCAUGUAUUUCUUUUCUUUUUUUUCCUCACCUUUUUUCUCAUAUGAAUUUACCCAAAUAAUAUAUUUUUGAGAAAUCCAUCCCCUUGCAUGCCGCGUUCUUAUAUAAUUGUUGUUUAGCUAAUUUUGUGAUCUUUAUCUUAAUAAAAGAAUAACUGGUAUUUUUUACUCAAUCAUGGUCAUGAGUUUAAGUAGGAAUCACUUCUUCACCUUCAAAUCAGGAUACAAAUUCAAAAUUUAAAACACAAACUUCAAAUUAAAAACAAAAUUCAUAAUUCAUAAUGCAAAAACCCAAAUUAAACACAAAAUUAAGAUUCUUUCAUAGAUAUAAAGUUUAAGAUCAAGAAAGAGAGCACAUACAAUUGGGGUAAAGUUCAAAAAUUUACCAAGGGGAUUUCGGAAGAGGCGCAGAAAGAAGAAGCUCGGCAUAUCAUAUCAAUGAUGUGAUGGUAUCAAGAGCCAUCGUUUCCCUUAUAGAUGGGUGAUUCGACCUAUUAUCGAUCUAUACUGCUUCAAUUUCUGCAAGGCGAUUGACGAGGCAAUUGACGACUUCGAUCAUGCUUCCUACGCUCGGCGAGACAGAGUUGGAGAAGCAAGAUUCUGGUUUUUGUUUGAGAGAAUCAAACAUGAUCAGAUAAGAAGCAGUGGAUUGAGAAUGGUAUGGGAGAGUUUCACUGCUAGAGAGAGAGAGAUGAGUUUGAGACAUGUGAACGCAGAGAAAGCAGAAUAAAGCAAAAGAGUCGAGAAGCGGAAAUCGAAGCAGAAGGUGCAGCGAUGAUGGAAGCGUGGGCUAGGAGGGCAAACUCAUCUUUUUCCUGUGUAAAAAGAUAUCGAAGGAAUUGAAGGGUAGUUUCACUCGUUCACUGUUAAUGAACAAUGUUUUUUUGUUGAGUUUAAUUAUAUGAGUAAAUUGUAGCUAUGGUCCCUUAAUUUUAACUCAACUGGAGCAAUGGUCCAUCAACUAAAAAUUCAUUAUCAUUGGUCUAUCAACUCAUCAAAACGUGUAGCUAUGGUCCCUCAACUAAAAAUCUAUUACCAUUGGUCCGUCAACUUUAAUUCAACUAGAUAAAUGGUCUCUUAACUUUAACCCAAUUGUAUUAAUAGUCCUUCCAACAUAACUCGUUUUGAUAAAAAUUUUGACGUAGUUGACGAAAAUAACCAUAAUUACACACUUUGAUGAGUUGAGGGAUCCUAAUUAUAUAAAUGGUUAUUACAACAAAACUUAUUUUGACAAAAUUUUAAUGAAAUUGAUGAAAAUGACUAUAGCUACAUAUUUUGAUAAGUUGAGGGACCAAUGGUAAUGAAUUUUUAGUUAAGGGAUCAUUGCUCCAAUUUGAUUAAAGUUGAGGGAUCAUUGCUACAAUUUACUCUUAGUAUAUGCAUAUAAGGACCCGGCUUCUUUGCCUUCCCACUUCCCAUACACUCUCAUUCCCUCCUAUUUUGUGCGGUCACGGUUAAGCCACGU
rnacentral:lncRNA from 1 species